rnacentral:rRNA from 1 species
AACAAACGCUGGCGGCGUGCCUAAUACAUGCAAGUCGAACGGGUAUAGCAAUAUAUCAGUGGCGCACGGGUGAGUAACGCGUGGAUAAUCUGCCUUCGAGUCGGGGAUAACUAGUCGAAAGAUUAGCUAAUACCGGAUAAGACCACAAGAUCCGAGGAUCAAGGGGUUAAAGGUUUUCGCUUGAAGAUGAGUCCGCGUGAGAUUAGCUAGUUGGUGAGGUAAUGGCNCACCAAGGCGAUGAUCUCUAACUGGUCUGAGAGGAUGAUCAGUCACACUGGAACUGAGACACGGUCCAGACUCCUACGGGGAGGCAGCAGUAGGGAAUAUUGCGCAAUGGAGGAAACUCUGACGCAGCGACGCCGCGUGAGCGAUGAA